ACCACAUCAAUAUUUCUGAUCUUGCUGACAUAGAGUUUCAGAGAUGUUUAUCAGGCCGAGAAACUCCUCACCUAAAAAGUUUGUAGUGUUUUAGGGUAGUACUUGGAGAGAAUAAUAGACUGGCAUUCAAUCACUAUUUUUGAGGAAGAAAAAAAUCCUUUGUGGAGUACUGCAGGAGAAAGGGAAGUUUGUAUAGUCUUUAUUUCUCUUUGCCCUUUGUUCUUGAUCCUUAAAUUGUUUUUUCCAUCUCCCCUAUCAUAAUUAUCACAAACGACAAUCCCAGAAGUUGAAAUGUUCUCAACCCCCCUUCAAGCCUUUUUAAUUCCCAUUGUCUCACUGAUAAAUUUCAGCGCCCUCUUCCUUCAGCUCUAAAAGAGUAAUUCCAUUACUUUUGACCCUACUUUUGGGGUGUCUUCUAAAUCUGUAUUUUGAUAUAGUUCUGUAGGGCACUAUUUAUUGUCGAUAGAUGGAUAGGAUGGGUUCAGGGAGACCACAGAGUAAUUGCUAGAAGAUCUACCCUAAAAGAAUGGUUAAAGGAACUUUUUUCUUUCUAGGCAUAAAGGAAAUGACAAAAGAAGGAAAGUGGAAUAUCAAUAUGAAAGAAAAAAAAAAGGGUCAGUAAAAAUGUGGGCAAAUAGCUUUGUGUGGUGGUGCACACCUGUAAUCCCAGCAGCUUGGGAGACUGAGGCAGG
rnacentral:lncRNA from 1 species